rnacentral:ncRNA from 1 species
UGGUAAAAACUUAGUAGUUCUUAGUUGUGCUGUUACAAACCAGUGAUGUCCCGACAAGGACGUCGGGGCAAGCAAUCAGCGACACGAUGUCGCAUUGAUUGCGUUCACGUUCGGCUUCAAUACAUAAAUCAGCACAUCUUAGAACUACUUAGUU